GACGAACGCUGGCGGCGUGCUUAACACAUGCAAGUCGAACGGAAAGGCUCUGCUGUUGUGGGGUGCUCGAGUGGCGAACGGGUGAGUAACACGUGAGUAACCUGCCCUUGACUUUGGGAUAACUUCUGGAAACUGGGGCUAAUACCGGAUAGGAGCUCCUGCUGCAUGGUGGGGGUUGGAAAGUGUCGGCGGUUGGGGAUGGACUCGCGGCUUAUCAGCUUGUUGGUGGGGUAGUGGCUUACCAAGGCUUUGACGGGUAGCCGGCCUGAGAGGGUGACCGGCCACAUUGGGAUUGAGAUACGGCCCAGACUCCUACGGGAGGCAGCAGUGGGGAAUAUUGCACAAUGGGCGGAAGCCUGAUGCAGCAACGCCGCGUGCGGGAUGACAGCCUUCGGGUUGUAAACCGCUUUCGCCUGUGACGAAGCGUGAGUGACGGUAAUGGGUAAAGAAGCACCGGCUAACUACGUG
rnacentral:rRNA from 1 species